rnacentral:rRNA from 1 species
CCUACGGGGGGCAGCAGUGAGGAAUAUUGGUCAAUGGGCGUGAGCCUGAACCAGCCAAGUCGCGUGAAGGAUGAAGGCUCUAUGGAUCGUAAACUUCUUUUAUAUGGGAAUAAAAUGUUGGUCGUGUGCUGUUUUGUAUGUACCUUAUGAAUAAGGAUCGGCUAACUCCGUGCCAGCAGCCGCGGUAAUACGGAGGAUCCGAGCGUUAUCCGGAUUUAUUGGGUUUAAAGGGAGCGUAGGUGGCAUGUUAAGUCAGCUGUGAAAGUGUGGGGCUCAACCGUAGAAUUGCAGUUGAAACUGGUAGGCUUGAGUACGGUAGAGGUAGGCGGAAUUCGUGGUGUAGCGGUGAAAUGCAUAGAUAUCACGAAGAACUCCGAUUGCGAAGGCAGCAUACUGGCCUGCAACUGACGCUGAGGCUCGAAAGUGUGGGUAUCAAACAGGAUUAGAUACCCUAGUAGUC